AAUGAACGUUGGCGGCGUGGAUUAGGCAUGCAAGUCGAGCGAGAAAGUUCCUUCGGGAACUGGACAGCGGCGAAAGGGAGAGUAACGCGUAGAUAUCUACCUCGAGGCCCGGGAUAGCGGCGGGAAACUGCCGGUAAUACCGGAUAACAUCCCCGGAUCAAAGGUGUGAUUCCGCCUCGAGAUGAGUCUGCGUCCUAUUAAUGCUUGUUGGUGUGGUAAUGGCACACCAAGGCGAAGAUGGGUACCGGGUGUGAGAGCAUGGCCCGGCUCACUGGGACUGAGACACUGCCCAGACACCUACGGGUGGCUGCAGUCGAGAAUCUUCGGCAAUGGGCGAAAGCCUGACCGAGCGACGCCGCGUGCGGGAUGAAGGCCCUCGGGUUGUAAACCGCUGUCAGUAGGGAGCAAAUCUCUUGGGGUUAUCCCCUUGAGUUGAGCGAUCUUCAGAGGAAGUACGGGCUAAGUUCGUGCCAGCAGCCGCGGUAAGACGAACCGUACGAACGUUAUUCGGAAUCACUGGGCUUAAAGAGUCCGUAGGCGGCCGUGUAGGUGGGAUGUGAAAGCCCUCGUCUCAACCGAGGAAUUGCGUUCCAAACCACAUGGCUUGAGGAGGAUAGAGGUGAGCGGAACUGAUGGUGGAGCGGUGAAAUGCGUUGAUAUCAUCAGGAACACCAGAGGCGAAGGCGGCUCACUGGGUCCUUUCUGACGCUGAGGGACGAAAGCUAGGGGAGCAAACGGGAUUAGAUACCCCGGUAGUCCUAGCUGUAAACGAUGAGCACUAGAUCGAGGGGACUUCCACAUCUUCUCGGUCGUAGCGAAAAGUGUUAGGUGCUCCGCCUGGGGAGUAUGGUCGCAAGGCUG
rnacentral:rRNA from 1 species